UUGCUUCAGUAGCACAUAUACUAAAAUUGAAAUGAUACAAUACAGAGAUUAGCAUGGCCCCUGCACAAGGAUGACAGGCAAACUUGAGAAAAGACCAAAAGUUAG
ensembl:snRNA U6 U6 spliceosomal RNA